UAGGGAAUCUUCGGCAAUGGACGAAAGUCUGACCGAGCAACGCCGCGUGAGUGAAGAAGGUUUUCGGAUCGUAAAACUCUGUUGUUAGAGAAGAACAAGGACGUUAGUAACUGAACGUCCCCUGACGGUAUCUAACCAGAAAGCCACGGCUAACUACGUGCCAGCAGCCGCGGUAAUACGUAGGUGGCAAGCGUUGUCCGGAUUUAUUGGGCGUAAAGCGAGCGCAGGCGGUUUCUUAAGUCUGAUGUGAAAGCCCUCGGCUCAACCGGGGAGGGUCAUUGGAUACUGGGAGACUUGAGUGCAGAAGAGGAGAGUGGAAUUCCAUGUGUAGCGGUGAAAUGCGUAGAUAUAUGGAGGAACACCAGUGGCGAAGGCGGCUCUCUGGUCUGUAACUGACGCUGAGGCUCGAAAGCGUGGGGAGCAAACAGG
rnacentral:rRNA from 1 species